rnacentral:rRNA from 1 species
UACAGAGGGUGCAAGCGUUGUUCGGAAUUAUUGGGCGUAAAGCGCGUGUAGGCGGCUUGGCAAGUCGGGUGUGAAAGCCCUCAGCUCAACUGAGGAAGUGCGCCCGAAACUGCUGAGCUCGAGUGCCGGAGAGGGUGGCGGAAUUCCCCAAGUAGAGGUGAAAUUCGUAGAUAUGGGGAGGAACACCGGUGGCGAAGGCGGCCACCUGGACGGUAACUGACGCUGAGACGCGAAAGCGUGGGUAGCAAACAGG